rnacentral:SRP_RNA from 1 species
GCCGGGCGUGGUGGUGGGCGCCUGUAAUCCCAGCUACUCAGGAGGCUGAGACAGGAGAAUCGCUUGAACCUGGGAGGCGGAGGCUGCAGUGAGCCAAGAUUGCGCCACUGCACUCCAGCCUAGGAGACAGAGUGAGACUCUGUCUCAA